UGGCUGCUGUACCUCCUGGGGCUCUUCCUCUAAAGAAAUAUGUGGAACAGGAAGGUUAUGGUACUGAGACACUAACAAGAUGGUUUGUUGAAAGGAAAAUCCCAAAUAUGUUGAUAGAAAUAGACAAUGAUAUGGAUGAAAGGAAAUUCUUUUGCAAUACUUCGGCUCAGAAAUUCGGAAUUUUGCUAGCAGAUUGCUUGGAGAGUGAACAUAAGCACAACAGGUGCUUUGGAAGCUUCAAGGAAGAGGAUGUAUUUUACGAUCCACUUAAAGAAGUGUUGGUCAUAGCAGUACAAGCUGUUGAUUUCACCCCAGAGAGAUAUAUAAAAGAUUGGAAUGUGUACAAAAAGAUAUUAAGUAUUUUCGUUUACGUACACCAACUGGUAAAUUGGAGUAUGCUUGUAUGGUAGGGGAUUUGGUGAAUCGAAUAGAUAACCUGAAAGAAGAUAAUGGUAUUGGUGUGAUGUGGAGGGACAGGUUGAUGCUUUAUCAGCACCCCUGUUUUAAGACUGCCUCAGAACUUAUUGGUAUCAUCCUAAAGUUGGUUCUGCACUCUCACACACUUCCAUCAGUAGAACUGGAGAGUUUUAUAUCUGCAUUUGGUAGGGUGCUAUCCUGGAAAAGUCAAGCUUGUAAAUCAAAGCGUUUGAAAGAGAUGAUGGAGUACAAGGUGUACAACAAGUGGGGGGAACUGAAACUGCAUAAGCAAUAUGAGGAAGAUAGUGGAUUUUCAAGGUUGGAUAUGUCGAGAUGUGCGCUUCAGCAUGUGGUUCGUGCUGGGAAGAUAUCUGAAAUGGACGUAUUUGUGCUCCUGUGUAUCAUCUGGGAAGACCAACUGUCCCAUGUCAUAGAGUCUAUGCUGAGAUAUCAACCACCUAAUAACAACCUGGACAUGUCCAAGGAUCCAAACAAAUCUAAAAACCACCUGAAGAUUAUUGAGAUACUUGGAUUCUUGGAGGAGGGAAAAAACUUGCCACUGUGUUAAGUCGUUCCAGGACAACACUAAUGUCCCUAUGAUGGAAGGUAUGAGAAACAUAACAUACAGAAGUCUGCUAGGAUGGAAGUUAACAAGAGGCAACAGUGGAAGUGUCGGACGUACAUCCUACUUUUGUUGGAAUCAUCAAGUGUCUAUAUUGGGUUCUGUAGUGGCUUGCAAUCCAUGUUUUGUUGGGUUAUCUCGGGCAGGCCCAUUCUAGUUUUGUUACACACUUGAUAAAAUGUAUGCAGUCAAAUAGAACUUUGAGUGAAAAUUGAUGCAUUCUCUAGCUGUCUGACAUGUAAAAAGCAAAUACAAGCAGAUGGCAUGCUCACCCACUGCGGUUUCUCCUUUUUUUUUUGUUGGAGUUGGAUAUCGUACUUCUUGUCUUAGGUUUAAAAUCACUUAUGCCCCUUAUCCUGCUAUCUAGAUGGCAUCAUUUGUGUGAUAUAUUCU